CCUACGGGAGGCAGCAGCCGCGGUAAUACGGAGGGUGCGAGCGUUAAUCGGAAUUACUGGGCGUAAAGGGCGCGUAGGCGGUGGGUUACGUCUGCCGUGAAAUCCCCGGGCUCAACCUGGGAAUGGCGGUGGAAACGGGCUGACUGGAGUAUGGGAGAGGGUGAUGGAAUUCCAGGUGUAGCGGUGAAAUGCGUAGAGAUCUGGAGGAACACCAGUGGCGAAGGCGGUCACCUGGCCCAAUACUGACGCUGAGGCGCGAAAGCGUGGGGAGCAAACAGGAUUAGAUACCCUGGUAGUCCACGCCCUAAACGAUGGAUACUGGAUGUUUGGCGCCUUAGGUGCUGAGUGUCUAGCUAACGCGAUAAGUAUCCGCCUGGGAAGUACGGCGCAAGGUUAAAACUCAAAGGAAUUGACGG
rnacentral:rRNA from 1 species